GUUUACUUAAUGAACACAUGUUGAAAGUUAUUAUUCUGCCACAUACUCUAAAUAAAACUUUGGACCACUGUUGAGUUGGUAAAGAAUUAAAUGACUUCAGUACAAUACUGACAGGAACCACCUGCAAUAGGGGUCCACAUACUUCACACUUUGGAUUCCUUUUUCUCCCAUCUGUUGGAAGGUCGCUGUAGUUCAGUCAUGCAAACUGUCUCUUUCUUUCUCCCAUGGAAAGCAGUGACGAAAAACAAUAGCUGUGUUAUGACACUACCUUGGGCACAAUGGGUUUAGAAGGAAAGGGUGUGAAACCAGGGUGCAAGUAUGGUUAAAACAAUUACUCUCCCACCAGCAUGGAGGAACACAUUAAGUUGAGGACUGGCACACACCGUUCCACAGACUUGAGAGCACGAUGGAGGAGAAUGACUGGUGAAGAUGAAGUAAUGUGCUGCUGCCUGCUGCAGAUGCCUCAUGCACGCAUCUGGAGCUACUUCCAGAUGGAUUGCUGAAGAUUAAAGGGUUAACAAAUUAGGACUAAAACUAACUUUUCUGUUUCUAAAUCAGAUCUGUGCAGACAUGCCACAUGCACUUGUUCUCAUCAAGGAUUAACUGCAUGACAAGCUUGAACUUUUAACACCAAACUCUUUUUGAGUUACUGGAGAGUAAAAAAAGGUCACAACACUUCCAUAAAACUGAAACAUGUAAAUUUUUCAUAACAUCAUCAUUCAAAAAUGACUCCUCUUAUUUUCUUCGACCUUUCCAAAAUAAUCUACCAUUGAUCUAAGACUAAUAAUGAGAAAUAACAGCUCAACUGUGCAUUUCCUCCUCUCUGAAAGUUUAAAAGGGUGAAAGUAGGCCUUGUAAUACAGUAGUUACCUUCAGUUGGGAGCUGCUACCCUAACUAUAGCGCAAUACCAUCUAAUUUGGAUUCAGAGGCAACAGACAUUACCCAAGAACAAAAUUCUAUACUUCAGAAAAAGGAAAACCUAGCUACCUGCUUUUCUAGCUCCUUUCAAAGGCUGCAUGUUUUAAUGCUUGCAGAUGCUUUGCUGUUGUCAAAUAAGUGACAAUGAUGAGCAAGAUGUAAGGGGUAAAAAAAAGGAGUAUGUGUUUUGCUGCAUCACUGUCCUUCUCCAUUACAAGUAGAAGAUUGUUAUAAAAAGAUGUAUCUACUAUAAAUUAAUAAUUUGCCAUUUGUCUAAUCUGCUAUGAUGCUUUUUCAGGUAUGAUGCUAAUUGUUAAACAGUAA
rnacentral:lncRNA from 1 species